rnacentral:rRNA from 1 species
AUUGAACGCUGGCGGCAGGCCUAACACAUGCAAGUCGAGCGGGGACUUCGGUCCUAGCGGCGAACGGGUGAGUAAUGCUUGGGAAUCUGCCCAGUAGUGGGGGAUAACGUCCCGAAAGGGACGCUAAUACCGCAUACGUCCUACGGGAGAAAGAGGGGGAUCUUCGGACCUCUCGCUGUUGGAUGAGCCCAAGUCGGAUUAGCUAGUUGGUAGGGUAAUGGCCUACCAAGGCGACGAUCCGUAGCUGGUCUGAGAGGAUGAUCAGCCACACUGGAACUGAGACACGGUCCAGACUCCUACGGGAGGCAGCAGUGGGGAAUAUUGGACAAUGGGCGAAAGCCUGAUCCAGCCAUGCCGCGUGUGUGAAGAAGGCCUUCGGGUUGUAAAGCACUUUAAGCGGGGAGGAAGGUUCGCGGCCUAAUACGUCGCGGAAUUGACGUUACCCGCAGAAUAAGCACCGGCUAACUCUGUG